rnacentral:rRNA from 1 species
UACGUAGGGUGCAAGCGUUAAUCGGAAUUACUGGGCGUAAAGCGUGCGCAGGCGGCUUUGCAAGACAGAUGUGAAAUCCCCGGGCUCAACCUGGGAACUGCAUUUGUGACUGCAUGGCUGGAGUGCGGCAGAGGGGGAUGGAAUUCCGCGUGUAGCAGUGAAAUGCGUAGAGAUGUGGAGGAACACCGAUGGCGAAGGCAGCCCCCUGGGCUAACACUGACGCUCAUGCACGAAAGCGUGGGGAGCAAACAGG